rnacentral:rRNA from 1 species
CGGCGGACGGGUGAGUAACGCGUGGGUAACCUGCCUUAUACAGGGGGAUAACAGUUAGAAAUGACUGCUAAUACCGCAUAAGCGCACAGUACCGCAUGGUAGUGUGUGAAAAACUCCGGUGGUAUAAGAUGGACCCGCGUCUGAUUAGCCAGUUGGCGGGGUAACGGCCUACCAAAGCGACGAUCAGUAGCCGACCUGAGAGGGUGACCGGCCACAUUGGGACUGAGACACGGCCCAAACUCCUACGGAAGGCAGCAG